rnacentral:rRNA from 1 species
UACAGGGGGUGCAAACGUUGCUCGGAAUCAUUGGGCGUAAAGCGCACGUAGGCGGUUCGAUAAGUCGGAUGUGAAAGCCCCGGGCUCAACCCGGGAAGUGCACUCGAUACUGUCGAGCUAGAGUAUCGGAGAGGUUGGUGGAAUUCUCGGUGUAGAGGUGAAAUUCGUAGAUAUCGAGAGGAACACCGGUGGCGAAGGCGGCCAACUGGACGAAUACUGACGCUGAGACUCGAAAGCGUGGGGAGCAAACAGG